rnacentral:rRNA from 1 species
UAGGGAAUCUUCCGCAAUGGGCGAAAGCCUGACGGAGCAACGCCGCGUGAGUGAUGAAGGUCUUCGGAUCGUAAAACUCUGUUAUUAGGGAAGAACAUAUGUGUAAGUAACUGUGCACAUCUUGACGGUACCUAAUCAGAAAGCCACGGCUAACUACGUGCCAGCAGCCGCGGUAAUACGUAGGUGGCAAGCGUUAUCCGGAAUUAUUGGGCGUAAAGCGCGCGUAGGCGGUUUUUUAAGUCUGAUGUGAAAGCCCACGGCUCAACCGUGGAGGGUCAUUGGAAGCUGGAAAACUUGAGUGCAGAAGAGGAAAGUGGAAUUCCAUGUGUAGCGGUGAAAUGCGCAGAGAUAUGGAGGAACACCAGUGGCGAAGGCGACUUUCUGGUCUGUAACUGACGCUGAUGUGCGAAAGCGUGGGGAUCAAACAGGAUUAGAUACCCUGGUAGUCCACGCCGUAAACGAUGAGUGCUAAGUGUUAGGGGGUUUCCGCCCCUUAGUGCUGCAGCUAACGCAUUAAGCACUCCGCCUGGGGAGUACGACCGCAAGGUUG